CAACGAAGAAGAAAAAAAAAAAGUUAAAUAGCAACUGUGGUGCGGUUCAUAAUCAACCACCAUAAAACCCCAAUACAGGGGCCCCGCGGAUUAACCUCGGAUCCCGCGGGAAGCAGUAUUGAAACCGACCCAGCGUGAGGCCUGGAGGAUCUUCUAACAGUUGACGAGGCAAACAGGAAGUGAAAACGUCAACCAAGAAGUCAUAAAAACCUUGAAGCAAGCACACUUGGGCUUUUUAGAGAAACGUCCAAGUCACAAAAUCAGAGCCGACCGAGUUCAACAAAGUUCCUCUCCCUGCGCCUGGAAUCAAAGAGCUUCCUCUGUGACAUUUCAGGGGGGGAAAGACGGAGACAAAACGAGCAAUGACAGUAUGGCGGCGGGAGGAGAGGUCGUACAUGUUGAAGGCCCAAUUGAGCUUCUGCUCAAAGCUGCCCCUGGACGUGAUGGACAGCGCGCAGAUGAACUCCCUGAAGUCGAUGGUCCCGUCGCCAUUUUUGUCGAAGGUCCUGAAAGCGUGCUGGGCG